CAAGCCGAUUAUUAGGCAGGCGCAUCUGUGGGCAGCCUAGUGUUGUUGUGGAACACGUGUUCGACGCACACUGCCCCUAGAGUCAUUUUCCAGCAGAGUGAGCAGACCUCAUCCAGUGCCUAAGGAAGGAGCUAAGUUCCUUGGAGAAAACAAUCCUCUCAAGCUCUGGCAGGUUGGACGGGGACCGUCAGUGGACAGCCAUUUUCAGGUCUCUCCAGAGAUGUUCAAUUGGGUUCAAGUCUGGGCUCUGGCUGGUCCACUAAAGGACAUUUACAGUGUUGUCACGUAUUUCCUUCAACCCUGACCAGUCCCCCAGUCCCUGCCGCUGAAAAACACCCCCACAGCAUGAUGCUACCACCAUGCUUCACCGUUAGGAUGGUACCGCACAGGUGAGAAACGGGGCCUGGUCCUCCAGACAUGACGCUUUGAAUUGAGGCCAAACAGUUUAAUCUUCAU